CGGCAACAGGUAUACCUUUGGAAGAAUGACGGCAUAAUUUAAUUGUUGCAAAAAAAUAAUAAUAAUAAAAAAAAUUAAUCUAAUUGAUGUUUUAAAAUGGACAUAAAUGUAUCCAGUAUCUUUGGCUUUUAGGUGUGAGUUGUACUUUGAAACAAGGUGGUAAAAAUGUCACUGUAAAUGUCACUGAUCGAUUCCUGCAUCGAUUAUUCAAAACCAGAUGCAUCAGUUAAUUUGAUACAUAAACACUGAUAAAAACACAAUAUUCUGUAUAAGCUGACAUUUAUGAAGACUACAUUGUCUCAUCUGAACUCUCAAAUAAUAGAAGGGCAGAUGAAAAAUGAAUAACUUCCUCAAGUAAACUCUGCUCCUGAGAGGGUGUUCCUACUUUGCUCUUUGCGAGCUGAAAGGAGCGUGACUUGACGAAGACGGCCUCGUGGAGUCUGUCUUCAUAUGUGGCCCUGCGGCAAAUGUUAGCGUGUGGGUAGUCCAGACGGAGACAGGACCCCUCCAGGGUGGCAAAGACGGACUGAGUCAGAGCAGGAUGGCAGGUUUCUGGGUCAUAAUCGUGGAUCUUGUUCAUCCAGCCCUGAAAAAGAGAACAAUAAAAGUGUACUUGCUGCAGCUUUAGUAAAGGAAAUAAUCGCACAAAAAAUGGGAACAAAAGAGCAAAAGGUAGAUUUUUAAACUGGUUUUCUUCUCAGUUUGGAGUUGUGGGCUUUUGAAUUUUGUCUAAACCAUCAAAAUGAACAACUUCUUCUUUUUUUAGCCGGGGAUGCAGUAGUGGGUGUUUAAGCAUAACUGAGGUUUUCUCUACACUAUAAUUGGAUCAUUACUGCGUAAACUCUGCUGCAAUGAGAAAGAGCUGUGCUACACCUUAUGUUGUCACUUCAUUGGUUCAUAUCAAUUAUAGCAUUUGCAAGUCUGAAAAUAAUGGUCCUGCAGUAUAAAUGCUCCCAGCUGCAAGAAACACACAAAAAACAAGGAAAGAAGGAAAGGGAAAGUUCUUGGAUAGAUUUUGCUAAUGAGAAUAAAUGAAUUAAAUGAGAAUUAAUCAUUGCUAUUUUUCAUCUGAGCAAAAACUAAGAUGAAAAAUUUAAAAAGCAAGAAAGUUGUUGCACAAAAACAUUGUUUUAAUGGUUUUUUAUUGUUUUAUUUAAAGACACAAUGUGUAGCUUUUACUGUUAACCUCUGGAAAGAUCCAUCGAACUGUUGUUGAAAAUGAACUAAAUGAUGUCCAGUUGUUGAAAACUAUUGGCUGCUUCAUAACAUAUAUGUAACCAUAAGAAUCAGGUCGAAAAGGGAGUCAUGGGCGACGUCAUAUUAGACGCCAUGUUUCUCUCUACGGGAGCUUGUGAGGACAAAAUGCAUUUACUGAUUUGUAAUGAACAGUUACAAAACGUUCACCAUUCAUAAACUUUGUUGUUUUACACAUUUACCUCGUCACUCGUUGCCAGUGUUGAAAGGAAGUCUGAUGUUGUCAUUUUGCUAUUGGCUGCAUUCUGUCGCGGUCCGUGGUGAGCCUCCUGCAUGUAACCCUUUUCCUCUGAGCAUUGUUUCAGGUGGGCGUGUCUGAGAGUCUCCAGCUGCAGCUAAUCCUGUCAUCAAGGCCCAGGGGAUUUAAGGAGCAGUGUGACACUUCAUUCCGCUGGAUGAUUACUCUGUUUGGGCUUCGCUCCACACCCCACCAUCUCCAUAACCAGCUUGGACUCCUGCAACCCAGAUCACGCUGUCUCCUCCCCUGGCCGCCCGCUCUCAGCCGCUCACCUGCUCACACCAAACCUCUGCUCCUACCUCCCCUCUGGUUCAACGGUUGCUUCACCUUCUGGAUCCUUCCUGCUCACCCGGACCAGACCUAGCCCUCCCUGAGCUGCCCACCACUACCUACAAUCAAAUCUCCUCCUGGAAUCUUGCUGCCAGUCCUGCACUGCGUCUGUUCCCGUUUUUCCCGUUACUCUUCACCUAAUAAUAAAGACGUUUU